CGGACAUAGUUUAUCGGUAGAACAUUAGCUUCCCAAGCUGAAUGGGUGGGUUCGACUCCCAUUGUCCG
rnacentral:tRNA from 1 species